GUCGCCCGGAGACACAUUGGUUUUCGCACUUUAACUUUAGUUCAAGUGAAUGGAUCUCUAUGUAAUUUUACCAUAAGGUACAAUACCACAAAAGGAAGGUUGGGAUUGAUUUUGGGGGUUAUGGUACCAACAGUUAAGGAAUUAGGGGUCAAAAAGGGGCCAAAAAUAAGCAUUUUUGUCACUUCCAGACAUAACUUGUGUGUUAGUGUAUGGAUCUCUCUGACAUUGUCCCACAAGGUUCCAUAUCACAAAGGGAAUGCUGGGAUUGGUUUUGAGGGUAAUUGCCUCAAAAUUUUAGGAAUUAGGGGCCAAAAAAGGGGCAAAAAACAAGCAUUUUUCUAGUUUCAUGAUAAUAACUUGUGUGUAAGUGUAUGGAUCUUUCUGAAAUUGAACUGCAAGGUUCCAUAUCACAAAGGGAAAGCUGGAAUUGAGUUUGGGGGUUAUUGCCCAAAACAUUUAGGAAUAAGGGGCCAAAAAGGGGCCAAAAAUAGCAUUUUUAUAGUUUCCAGACAAUUACUUGUGUUUAAGUGUAUGGAUCUCUCUGAAAUUGUACUGCAAGGUACCAUACCACAAAGGGAAGGCUGGGAAUGAUUUUGGGGGUAAUUCCCUCAAAAAUUUAGGAAAUA